AGGGAUCUCUUGAAUCUCAGAUUUUCCCAGUUGCAGAGACUCAGCAUACUCUGGUACAUUCCUUCCUGCUCCUUGGGAAAGAUCUUCCAGAAUACAGCUCUCAGCUUCCUCACUGCCCAGCCAUGUUGUCAAUGACCGUUCUGCUGCUUGGACUGCUCUUCACAGUGAGAGGAACCAGAGCCCAGUCAGUGACCCAGCCUGAUGACCACAUCACUGUCUCUGAAGGAGACCCUCUGCAGCUGAGGUGCAACUAUUCCUAUGGUAGAGCUCCUUCUCUCUUCUGGUAUGUGCAGUAUCCCAGCCAAGGCCUCCAGCUUCUCCUCAAGUACAUUUCAGGGGCCACGCUGGUUAAAAGCAUCAAAGGUUUCCAGGCUGAAUUUAAGAAGAGUGAAACCUCCUUCCAUCUGUGGAAACCAUCAGCCCAUUUGAGUGACUCGGCUGAGUACUUCUGUGCUCUGAGUGACACAGUGACUGAGACUGCAGGGGGAGCUGAACACAAACCUGCUGAGACACAGAUUUUCAGAGACUCAAGGACACGACCUGACCUGUUUUUAGAGGGUCUCUCAUGUGAUGAAAGUGAGCAGCGUGGGGAGCAGAGCCCUGGGGAGUUCUUGGCUCCUGAGGAUAAACAGGAACUUCAACAUGUUCCUUCCUUUACUACUGGGUCAUGUUAA